rnacentral:rRNA from 1 species
GAUGAACGCUAGCGGCAGGCCUAAUACAUGCAAGUCAAGGGGAUAGCAAUAUCACCGGCGGACGGGUGCGUAACGCGUACACAACGUGCCCAAGGGCGGAGGAAAGCGGCGGGAAACUGCCGGUAAUACUCCAUGGCGUUGCAGGGUGGCAUCACCUUGCAACUAAAGUACAAGCGCCCUUGGAUCGGUGUGCGUUCGAUUAGCUAGUUGGCGGGGUAACGGCCCACCAAGGCUCCGAUCGAUAGGGGGUGUGAGAGCAUGACCCCCCACACGGGUACUGAGACACGGACCCGACUCCUACGGGAGGCAGCAGUAAGGAAUAUUGGACAAUGGGCGGAAGCCUGAUCCAGCCAUGCCGCGUGAAGGAUGAAGGCGCUCAGCGUUGUAAACUUCUUUUGGAUGGGAACAAUAACUCUGACUUGUCAGAGCUUGAGGGUACCAUCAGAAUAAGCACCGGCCUAACUCCGUGCCAGCAGCCGACGGUAAACUAGUCUACG